rnacentral:lncRNA from 1 species
AAUAAUUUACCUAAUAAUAUCAAAUAAAAUUCAAUCGUAAUUUAACAAUUAACAAUUCAACAUAAAUAAGUAAAUAACAUAAGACAACAUCAUAAAUUCACAAAUAAAAAUAUCACAAUAUAAAUCAAUCAUAAAAAAUAACAUAAGUUCAAGCACACCACUAUUAAAAUCCGCAAAUAAAAACACUACAAAUCCAUGGAAAUUUCAAGCUUCGAAUCCAACAUAUCAUGCCACUAUUUGGAGAGAAUGAAAAAUUAUUUCCUUGCUCCCUUUCGGCGGCUAUGUUCAACUAAUCCCGAAACCUAAUUAAAGUAAUUUGUAAAGUGAGUUAGCAUAUGUGAGAAAAAAAUAGAUUAAGCAUUUACAUUAUAUUGAAAAUUAAUGCAUUUAAUUAAAAUAAUUAAACAAAUUAGCAAAGAAAAUUAAUCAAAAAUAAAUUAAAUUAAACCAACAAGGAAAUUAAAUUAAGCCAGCAACAUUUUCAAGUUUUAUCAGAUUUACAUUAGAUUAAACUCAUUAAAUACAAUCAAACAGUUAGCCACAAUACCAAAUUGUUAAACAGAAAAAAGCCAUGUAAUUAAUAGAAAGAACAUAAAAUUAAUAUAAACGUACAGUAACAACUACCGGCAAGAACAACCCGAUCAGGUGAGGGUUGGUGACGGCGAAGCGUGUAGCAACAGUGACAUGGCAAGGCUUCAAUGACAGUGAGGCUUUGAUGACUGUGAGGCGCGCAGCGACAGCGAUGUGCUUAGGCGAGCUUCAACCUGAGGCUAAGGCGAGGCUGUGAGGAAGACGGUGAUCAGUCGACAACGUUAGAAGCCCCUUCGGUUUUGGGCAUUAGAGAUUUGAGGGUCAUGGCUGCUGGUAAGGUGAGCUACUGUGAGUCAGUGAGUGUGUGUGAAAGUUGAAUGCGUUAUUGACUUAGGGUUAGGGAUUAAAUUUUUUUUAUUUAAGUUAAUAUUUAUUUUUAAUUCAAUUUUUUUAUUAAAAUAAAAUUCAUCCAGAUCCAGAUAUCUAGAUUUUCAGAUAUAAGUGCAUCCAGAUCCAGAUUUUUUUGUUAUUCCUGCACACCAUCACCAAAGUGAGGGCAUGGGCUUGAGUUCCUUUUUAAGAACUCUAAUAUAAUUAUUAGUAUAUAAUUGGGUAACGGUAGGCAUCUAUCCUUAAUGUAAGUAGGACCAAAUAUCCUUUUAAAUUUUCGUAAAGGUAGAAAUUC